UACGUAGGCAGCAAGCGUUGUUCGGAGUUACUGGGCGUAAAGAGUGCGUAGGUGGUGCCCUAAGUCUGUUGUGAAAUCUCCCGGCUUAACUGGGAGGGUGCGGUGGAAACUGGGGUGCUUGAGUGUGGGAGAGGUAAGCGGAAUUCCUGGUGUAGCGGUGAAAUGCGUAGAUAUCAGGAGGAACACCUGUGGUGUAGACGGCUUUCUGGACCGUAGCUGACGCUGAGACACGAAAGCGUGGGUAGCAAACAGG
rnacentral:rRNA from 1 species